rnacentral:rRNA from 1 species
GACGUAGGGCGCGAGCGUUGUCCGGAUUUAUUGGGCGUAAAGAGCUCGUAGGCGGCUUGUCGCGUCGUCCGUGAAAACUUGGGGCUCAACCCCAAGCUUGCGGUCGAUACGGGCAGGCUAGAGUACUGCAGGGGAGACUGGAAUUCCUGGUGUAGCGGUGGAAUGCGCAGAUAUCAGGAGGAACACCGGUGGCGAAGGCGGGUCUCUGGGCAGUAACUGACGCUGAGGAGCGAAAGCGUGGGGAGCGAACAGG